UGCAGGAUUAGCUGCUUAUAUAUUCACUACAAGCAUGCAACGUUCCUGGCGUGUCUCGGAAGCUCUUGAAUAUGGACUUGUUGGAAUUAACGAGGGGAUAAUUUCAACCGAGGUUGCCCCAUUUGGAGGUGUCAAACAAUCUGGUCUUGGACGAGAAGGUUCCAAAUAUUGAAUAGAUGAAUAUCUAGAGAUGAAAUAUAUAUGUCUGGGGAAUUUGAGUAAUUGACAAAAUAAUAUAGCAGCAGAAUCAGGAGGUUGAAAAUAACUGGUCAGUCUUUUAUUUGCAUUUUACUUUUCUUUUCUUUUUCACUAUUUUGAAAUAAUUAAGGUCAAGAUCCUAAUUAAGUUGUUGGAUGAACACUUUGAUUCCUGUUUCUACCUUUUCUUUUAUUUAUUUAUUUCUUAUUUUGA